AUAGGAAGUUCCUGCCCAGGAUUAGCAGCCUGCUAGGAGACAAGGAACCCAGUGGGGACUUUGGCUGGCCAGAUCGGCUGCAGAAAGGAAGGCUUCAGCCAGGAAGACAGUGAUUGAAACUAUGUCUGAGAGAUGUAGAGCCAGGGUGUAACAGAUCUCCUUUCAUCUGGAAGGGGUGAGACUGGCUGGAGCCGUAAAAAGAAGUAAAUUGUUGCAGGACCAAACAGCUGUUUGGUGGGGGAAACAGAGGCAGAGUUGCUGCAACACUAUAACUGGUCAUGAAAAGAUGCCCUGGCUGAGAAACUUGCAGAAGGAAAUGAUACUUUCCAGGAAACUCUGCAAGGUCUACCUCAUGGUUUCCUCCAGAUGGUCCCCUAUGUGUAUCCUGUCGGCAGACCGGGGGCUCAACAUCAAGAUUUGGAAGUUUUGUGAUCUGUGAGGCCUCAAGUUCUCACCGCCCCUGAGGCAGUCCAUCCCACAUGGCAGAACAUCUAUAUGAGGAGUCAUGCUUCCACGAAGUCCCCACUGGGGGGAAGACCCUGGAAGACUUUCUCAGGGAAGCUGAUGGGUGGAAGACCUUGGAUAAAAUAAUAGUGAUGAGGUGGUCAUCAUGUUACAUAGGGAAAUUUCAGAAGAUGUGGUAGGGAUUCAGUCAUUUCCUAUUCCAUCCCAACCACUCCUCCCUCAGCUCCUCCUGACUCACAGAGCUCUGACCCCAUGGUAUAUU